rnacentral:rRNA from 1 species
AAACUGGGUCUAAUACCGAAUAUUCUGCUCUUGUCGCAUGGUGGGGGUUGGAAAGGGUUUCUGGAUGGGGAUGGGCUCACGGCCUAUCAGCUUGUUGGUGGGGUGAUGGCCUACCAAGGCGUCGACGGGUAGCCGGCCUGAGAGGGUGACCGGCCACAUUGGGACUGAGAUACGGCCCAGACUCCUACGGGAGGCAGCAGUGGGGAAUAUUGCACAAUGGACGCAAGUCUGAUGCAGCGACGCCGCGUGGGGGAUGAAGGCUUUCGGGUUGUAAACUCCUUUCAGUACAGAACAAGGCCUUUUGGUUGAGGGUAUGUGCAGAAGAAGCGCCGGCUAACUACGUGCCAGCAGCCGCGGUAAUACGUAGGGCGCGAGCGUUGUCCGGAAUUAUUGGGCGUAAAGAGCUCGUAGGCGGUUUGUUGCGCCUGCUGUGAAAGACCGGGGCUUAACUUCGGGGUUGCAGUGGGUACGGGCAGACUAGAGUGUGGUAGGGGUAAUUGGAAUUCCUGGUGUAGCGGUGGAAUGCGCAGAUAUCAGGAGGAACACCGAUGGCGAAGGCAGGUUACUGGGCCACCACUGACGCUGAGGAGCGAAAGCGUGGGUAGCGAACAGGAUUAGAUACCCUGGUAGUCCACGCCGUAAACGUUGGGCACUAGGUGUGGGGCCUUUUCCACGGGUUCUGCGCCGUAGCUAACGCAUUAAGUGCCCCGCCUGGGGAGUACGGCCGCAAGGCUAAAACUCAAAGGAAUUGACGGGGGCCCGCACAAGCGGCGGAGCAUGCGGAUUAAUUCGAUGCAACGCGAAGAACCUUACCAAGGCUUGACAUACACUGCGAUGUGCCAGAGAUGGUGCAGCCUUCGGGGUGGUGUACAGGUGGUGCAUGGUUGUCGUCAGCUCGUGUCGUGAGAUGUUGGGUUAAGUCCCGCAACGAGCGCAACCCUUGUCCUGUGUUGCCAGCAAUUCGGUUGGGGACUCACGGGAGACUGCCGGGGUUAACUCGGAGGAAGGUGGGGAUGACGUCAAAUCAUCAUGCCCCUUAUGUCUUGGGCUUCACGCAUGCUACAAUGGCCGGUACAGAGGGUUGCGAGCCUGUGAGGGUGAGCUAAUCUCUUAAAGCUGGUCUCAGUU